UACGUAGGGGGCAAGCGUUGUCCGGAUUUAUUGGGCGUAAAGAGCGUGUAGGCGGCCUGAAAGGUCAGCUGUGAAAACUCGGGACGCACCAUCGAGACGUCGGUUGAAACCAUCUGGCUAGAGUCCGGAAGAGGAGUGUGGAAUUCCCGGUGUAGCGGUGAAAUGCGCAGAUAUCGGGAAAGAACACCCGUGGCGGAGGACGGCGACU
rnacentral:rRNA from 1 species